rnacentral:tRNA from 1 species
CAAGGAAUAGUUUAUAUUAAAAUUUUAAUUUUGGAGAUUAAAGAAAGGGAGGGUUCCUUUUCCUUGA